UCCAUCGUGAGGUGGAAUCUGAAGGAAGCUGUAAGCAAAUCUCUGGUCUGACAAACAGAAAUCACAUCAGGUUGCAGUUAAGGAUAAGGUGGUUAUACAAACUAAAGUCCAAUAACUACUCGGAAUUAGCUGUAAUAAAUGUGGCAGAUAUAUGGAGAGAAAGAAGUGUGU
rfam:Lachnospiraceae bacterium M18-1 genomic scaffold acPFy-supercont1.2, whole genome shotgun sequence.